AAGACUAUACUUUCAGGAAUCAUUUCUAUAGUUUAUUACAAAUAUUAAGCUUUGAACUAGUAAGCACUAUGUAAGAGUAGACAUUAUC
rnacentral:snoRNA from 1 species